AACGUAGGACGCAAGCGUUAUCCGGAAUUACUGGGCGUAAAGCGCGUGUAGGCGGGUCUGUAAGUCUGUCGUGAAAGCUCCCGGCUAAACUGGGAGAGGUCGAUGGAAACUACAGGUCUGGAGUUUGGCAGAGGAAUGUGGAAUUCCGCGUGUAGUGGUGAAAUGCGUAGAGAUGCGGAGGAACACCAGUGGCGAAGGCGGCAUUCUGGGCCACAACUGACGCUGAGACGCGAAAGCAUGGGUAGCGAACGGG
rnacentral:rRNA from 1 species